rnacentral:ncRNA from 1 species
AAGACCUUAUGGAAUUUUAAUUAACUAAUUAAUCCCCCCCCAAAUAAACAACUGAACUUGAAGGGAUUACAUGGCUUUUAAUGAACUAACAAUUUUGGUUGGGAUCAUCUUGGAGAAUCAAAAUGCCUCUGAGGGAUCAAAAUUUAGACCAGCUAGUCAAAAUGCUUUAUCACCUAUUGUUUUAAAACAUUGAUAAAGGGGACAAGUUAUCCUAGGGAUACCAGCGUACUCCUAUUCUGGAGUUCAUAUCGACAAGAGGAUUUAUGGCCUUGAUGCUGGAUCAGGACAUCCCAAUGGCAUAACUGCUAUAAAUGAUCUGUUUGUUCAACAAUUCAAGUCCUACAUAAUUUGAAUUUCAACUGGAGUGGUCCCAGUCAGUU